GCAGUAAGGAAUAUUGGUCAAUGGGCGCAAGCCUGAACCAGCCAUGCCGCGUGCAGGAAGACGGCCCUACGGGUUGUAAACUGCUUUUGUACCGGAAUAAACUUCUCUACGUGUAGAGAGCUGAAUGUACGGUAAGAAUAAGGAUCGGCUAACUCCGUGCCAGCAGCCGCGGUAAUACGGAGGAUCCAAGCGUUAUCCGGAUUUAUUGGGUUUAAAGGGUGCGUAGGUGGCCUAUUAAGUCAGGGGUGAAAGACGGUAGCUUAACUAUCGCAGUGCCUUUGAUACUGAUGGGCUUGAAUACAGUUGAAGUGGGCGGAAUGUGACAAGUAGCGGUGAAAUGCAUAGAUAUGUCACAGAACACCGAUUGCGAAGGCAGCUCACUAAAGUGUGAUUGACACUGAGGCACGAAAGCGUGGGGAUCAAACAGGAUUAGA
rnacentral:rRNA from 1 species